rnacentral:rRNA from 1 species
GGAUUUGCUCUAUAAUGGAUAAAACACCUUAAUCUUACUUUAAUUGGUGUAAAAACAGUUUGUAUACCACUAUUAAAAUAAUAAUAUACAAUUAUUAUUAAAGUAUAUUAUUUAUGUAUUUAAAUAAAGUUAAGUCAAGGUGCAGCAAAAAUUAAAGUAUGAAGUGAAUUACACUGCUUUUUAGAUAAAAAAAAUGAAAAUAAGUUUAGGAUUUGAAAGUAAAAUUAAAAUAGGAAGUUAAUUUGAAUUAAGCUCUAGGAUAUGUAC